rnacentral:rRNA from 1 species
GUGGGGAAUAUUGGACAAUGGGCGGAAGCCUGAUCCAGCCAUGCCGCGUGUGUGAAGAAGGCCUUUUGGUUGUAAAGCACUUUAAGCGAGGAGGAGGCUCCUUUAGUUAAUACCUAAAGUGAGUGGACGUUACUCGCAGAAUAAGCACCGGCUAACUCUGUGCCAGCAGCCGCGGUAAUACAGAGGGUGCAAGCGUUAAUCGGAUUUACUGGGCGUAAAGCGCGCGUAGGUGGCCAAUUAAGUCAAAUGUGAAAUCCCCGAGCUUAACUUGGGAAUUGCAUUCGAUACUGGUUGGCUAGAGUAUGGGAGAGGAUGGUAGAAUUCCAGGUGUAGCGGUGAAAUGCGUAGAGAUCUGGAGGAAUACCGAUGGCGAAGGCAGCCAUCUGGCCUAAUACUGACACUGAGGUGCGAAAGCAUGGGGAGCAAACAAGAUUAGAAACCCUGGUAGUCC